rnacentral:rRNA from 1 species
UACGUAGGGUGCAAGCGUUGUCCGGAAUUAUUGGGCGUAAAGAGCUCGUAGGCGGUCUGUCGCGUCGGAUGUGAAAAUCCAGGGCUCAACCCUGGACCUGCAUUCGAUACGGGCAGACUGGAGUACUGCAGGGGAGACUGGAAUUCCUGGUGUAGCGGUGGAAUGCGCAGAUAUCAGGAGGAACACCGGUGGCGAAGGCGGCAUCCUGGACCAAUUCUGACGCUGAGGAGCGAAAGCCAGGGGAGCAAACGGG